AGAAGUUUGGCCACACAAUUGUUUCUAUGGUGACAAAGCCCACUUAGCAGCAUGUUGUACAAAUAGACUUUUCCUCUGAGGUCAUAAUAUAUAGUCUCUAUGGUGACACAGAUGCAUACAUUGACUUUCAGGCUUACUCUUGGGUCAUCAGAUAUCUGGACAUGAACUGAGAUGUGGCUAUCUUUCCCUUUUUUCCUAUAUCAGAAAUGGGAGAAGACUUUUCUUACAAUCAGCUACCCGAGUUACUUGAGAAAUUUGGUACAAGACUUCUGUGUCUAGAAAUUACAUAAGAGAUAAGAAGUAAUAUAUCUGAUGGACCACUGAUUUAGAAGACAUUGAGGAAUACUGUACUAAGGAUCUCAUCUGUCUUUGGCGUUAGUAACACAAUUCUAACACUUAAAGGCCUAACUAGUGGAUAUUCCAGCUUGACUUCAAGGACUUCUGUAUCUAUCUUCUUGGCAUUUGGACUGUUGGCUUUGAUGGUUUACUCAUUUCUGUUGGUUGUGUGGACUGAGCUUCUAAUAAACCAGGUGUGUUUAUGACAGGGAAUUGCUUUGAAAAAGAAAUACAUGUGUAUAGCAAUGCAUGCAUUUUGAAUUAAAUGUUACUUUUACUUGCAAGACCAUUUUGUAGAACUUUAUGCUCAUGCAUGGUUGUGUGUCAGUAAGCGAAUUUCCCAAGUCAAAACUACACCUCUCCCUUGCAGAAUAAACAAAUUAUGGAAAUACUUUUAAUUGCAAAAUGC